AACGAACGCUGGCGGCGCGUCUUAAGCAUGCAAGUCGAACGGCAAGAUUGGUGCUUGCACCGAUCCUAGAGUGGCGGACUGGUGAGUAACGCGUGGGUGACAUACCCUCUGGAUGGGGAUAGCUGAUAGAAAUAUCAGGUAAUACCGAAUAAGAUUCUGCAGGUUAGAGUGGUAGAAAGAAAGGUGCGUCAGCACCGCCGGAGGAAUGGCCCGCGUACUAUUAGCUAGUUGGUGAGGUAAAGGCUCACCAAGGCGACGAUAGUUAUCCGGCCUAAGAGGGUGAACGGACACAUUGGGACUGAGAUACGGCCCAGACUCCUACGGGAGGCAGCAGCUAAGAAUAUUCCGCAAUGGACGAAAGUCUGACGGAGCGACGCCGCGUGGAUGAAGAAGGCCGGAAGGUUGUAAAGUUCUUUUAAGCAUGAAGAAGGAUUAUUGCAGGAAAUGGCAGUAAAGUGACGGUAGUGCUUGAAUAAGAGGCGGCUAAUUACGUG
rnacentral:rRNA from 1 species